UUUGUAGAAUAAUUGGA
rnacentral:sRNA from 1 species